CUUCUAUCCAUUUCUCGUCGUCCGCAACUUUUUUCGGACUCUCCUCUGGCACGGUCCAGCCACCAUAAGUGAAACAGCUAGAGUUCGCGUCGGGUUGUUCCGCGAUUGUUUGUCGAUUCGUCGUCACCCGUCACGGAUUUUCCUACUUUUUAGUUUCCAUUUCCCCGAACAGGGGCCCCCCAGUGGACAACGGUGAAGAAUGAACUUUUUCUAGGAUUAUAGCAAGAAUUGGUGCGUGGAAAUGUGUAAAACCAACAGUGAGAGCUGAAAAGUGCCGAAAGUGGAGAAGAGCAAAAGUUGGAAAUAGUUUGAUAAAAUUGGAUUUUCUUGUCUAGUUGGUGCGCUGAACUGCAAAAGUCACAGGAAGUGAAACAUAACGGGAUCGGUGUUGAUUCGAGAAGUGAUCCGAAGUGGGCAAAAAUUUUAGCACAGGAAAAAACAUCCACACACAAGCGAAUUUAGUGCACCGGUGAAGAUGUAAAUGUAGAAGAGCUAAUGCAGAUGGUAGUUGCUGCUGGCUGGAUGAAAAAAGUGUUUCGGAAAAAAAUGCUAAUUUGCUAGCGCACACUAGCGCGCUCUGAAUGAACACGGUUUCGUCGACUUUUGCGCUCACUCAAUCCACACGGAGCUUGUUUAUGUGUUUGUGUCAGUGAAUUAUCUUGAUAUUCAGCAAAACGGAACAACCAAUGGAAGGGAGUGAAAAAAGUAUCUACGAAAACAAACGGUGAUUUUGCCUGGAACUUAUCGGAGGAAAUUAAAUUGAGAAUCAUUGUUUUGUGUUUUUGUUUAGAAAUUUUUUAAGUCAAGACGCUGUGUCCGCUAGGAGAGAGCAGAUAAAUGCUCGUAAUGGAUCAAGUUAUACUUCUUUGACUGCACGCACAUACCCAGCCGAGUGCGUUCAAUACACGGACAUUACCCUGUCGUGUGUGGAUAUAUGCGCGAUAACAGUGGUUGGAAGCAAGUGACGAAAGAACCCUUGAAGAAGAAAAAACGUUGUGUAACGUGGUGUGCGCUAACGGUGGAGAUGAAUCGAAAGGUCUUUGGACCGAGCUGAAGAUGGUUAAGUGAGAAAGUUAGGGACCCUCCCUCGCAAUAGUUCGUGCAUCGGAAGGUGGUUCUGAUUACUUAUUUCAUGAAUGAAACUUCUAAGCACGCGGUUAGUGCAGGGGUGCAUGAACCCCUCCCAAGCACAUACAGUGGAGUUGCGAACUAGCUGUUCGUUCUCCGUGGCAGACUGGUGACCAAGGCGCUGUUUGCAUAAGGAAAUGAACGGAAAGAAAAAAGUUUAGCAAGUGACGUGAGUGUUCGUUUGAUUGUGUUGGUGUAUAGAGGAUCUGCUCAAGUGUUAUCCGUGUUGUAUGCAUGGAUUGGUGUGUUUUGAGUGACGAAUUUGGCCAGAAACACAAGUGGAAACAUUGCAGAAUCAUUUCAUCGGGUUGCAAUUUUCUCAGGAGGAAAUCCUGCGUAUUUGCCCUGUUUUUUCCUCUUUCUAUCUCUGUUAUUCUGGAGUGGCGUGAUCAAACGAUGUUCGCUGUUUGUAUAUAGCAUUAUCCUAUAUAUGGUUCCUGUUUAGUGCGCACCAUAAAGAGUACUAAGUGAGUGACAACAUUACGACGGUUUUGAACAGCAAAACCCGAAAUAUAGAGUAUUUGGAAAACGUAAAAUCGAACUACUGAUCCAAACCUAUCGUGACGUAUCAUCAAGUAUCGUGUCAAACAGUCAAUCUGAGUCGAACGCGUGUGUAUGCUGCAAGUGAGUGUGCGAAUCGUGCGUGCGUCAUAACCAGAAUCCGACACUAUUAAAAGCAGAAGCAGCAGAAACGGUUGCCUUCAAGAUUUUGUGUUCCGACGAUUCUGAAAAUGAAGCGCCGCGAAAGCAACAAGGAACAGCAACAGCAGCAAAAUCAGCAGCAGCGCGAAGGUUGCGACCGCGACGUCACACGGCAGACAAGGUGAGCUUCACAGCUUAGUAUCUCGCUCAUCCUCCCACACACACGUGAGGAGAGCGCAGUCGGUGUGUUGUAGUCUGUUGCGCUGCGCUGACAGCAGCGGGAAUCGAUCAUCACGAAGCGGAUCGCGUACGGGUCGCAGAGUUGAGAAACACGCUCACUAACACACCAUCAUCAUUCCCUACACCAACUAAAUAACAACAGCGAUCUGAGUGAGAGUGAGCCGCCGCCGCCGGUCGCGAUCGACGUGGAGUGAGAAAGAGUGUGUUACGGAGCGGUAAGAAGUGUGUGAAUAAACGCCGAAGAAAUCUAAAUUUUCAGUUGUGCGUGUGUUUGAGAUCAUUUGGUCGUUUUUGUGACUGCACGAAAACAACGGAGCUGCGGUGACAGCUGUUGAAAGCACCAACACCACACGCAGCGGCUAACCUAGAAAAAAUCCCAAGAAUCGGCACAGAACAGAAAGAGACAGAUCGUCGUAUCCACAGAGGGACUCGCGAGAUGAAUGCUGAACGUUUCACUCUAGGCAGCAAACAACCAAUAGCGUAUUUUGAGGCCGAGACUUCAUAUGAAAAUGAUCAAAUCUGUUUUUAAUAGUCUAUGA